rnacentral:lncRNA from 1 species
GGCACAUGGCAGUGUAGUCCUCGUUCAUAUAGAUAUCAUGAGGGUUGCACAAAUCGAUCACUCGCCACAGGGCGGGAUCCUUGCAAACUUUCCACCAGGUUCUACACACUCGCUGCGCGUUCCUUAGCAUCCUCUUUGCGCCCAACCUCUGCAGAAUGUUGGCCGUUACAUCUUCGGGAAGUUCGAUCCACGGCGGCGGAGGGGCCGAGGAUGAAGCAGCUGGCGCCGGAGUUUUCCUUUCAACCCGCCGUUUUCGUUUUCUGCUUUUCCUUCUUUCCAUGGCGAUUGAAAACGCAGAUUGGGAAGGAGAGGAAUUUGAAAACGUUUGUUUAUUAUUUGGGUGAAUAUUUAGGCGGAAAAUACAUAAGGUCGUGUUUGGUCGCGUACGGCCCAAAAAUAACGCCCAAAACCCGUAAAAUUUGAGGUGGUUUCCUAUUAAACCGAUUUUUUUGUGCUAAAAUUUUGCCUAAAUUGUACUCCCUCCGUCCCAAUAAAUGUGGCCACUUUGUUUUCGGCACGGAGAUUAAGAAAGGGAAGGUUAUGUUUUAAUGAUGUGUGGUCCACCAAAAUUAAAUAGUUAAUUAAGUGUGGAAAACAUUCUUCUUCUUCUCACUUAAUCUGUUCCACAGUCUGCCGCCGGCGACGGCAACGGCGAAGCCGGCGGUCGUCCCUCACCCUCUAUCAAAUCGCAAAUACCAAAUCGCAUAGCCAGAAACCAAAAAUCAGAAACCAAAAACUAAAAAUCAAAAACCAAAAAAUUGCAGCCCUAUGGCUGUGCAGAUUCGUCGUCGGGAAAUAGCAUAACCAGAAACCAAAAACUAAAAAUCAAAAACCAAAUCAGACAAAUAGCAUAACCAGAUUCGUAGUCGGGAAUCGAGGCCAAGGGCCACGAUUAAAGUGCCUGGAAUCAGGGGAUAUGGAGCUCGGCGGCGGCAGCCCUAUGGCUGUGCAGUCGCCGGACUUGAAGGAGAGGUUGAGACGGAGAUGAGAGGUUUUGGGGCGUGCGGCGGUGGCUGGUUCGCUAGCUGCUAUGCGCGGUCGCCGGAAAUCGAAGCUGAGGCGGUGAGUUUAGAUCUAGGGUUUGUGAGAGAAGGGCGGCGCCAUGGCUGGGGAAAUCGAAACUGAGGCGGUGGUCGUCGGUGUGUGUGUUCUGUGGAGGGGAAGAAAGGGGCGUCGGCGGUCGUGGCUGACGGCGGUGCGGCGGUUGACUGCGGCGAACGAGUCGGUGGAGAAGCAGAGGAGCGAGUCGGUGGAGAAGCGGAGGAGGAGAUCCACCGGAACGGUCCUCUUCCGGCGAGGGUCUGUGGUGUGGGUAGGGGGUGAGGGUGCGGUGGCUGCUGGCGGGGGCGGCGGGGCGAGAGAGAGAGAGAGAGAAAGGUGGUGGGCGGCGGGAGGCAGGAAUUGUGGUGGGAGUUUAUUUAAUUAGUAGGGUUAGUUAGAUUUAAUUAGAUUAAUUAAUUAGACUUAAUUAAAGUAAAUAUUUCUAUUUUAAGAAAGUUGCCACUUUUAGUGGGACAAACUAAAAUGGAAAGUGGCCAUAUUUAUUGGGACGGAGGGAGUACUUAGAUACAAUGCAUAUAUGUUUUUUUGUGCUAAAAUUUUGCCUAAAUUGUACUUAGAUACAAUGCAUAUAUACCAAUGAGGUGAUCUUGGGUACACCCGGGUGUACGUACAACCAGAUUAUAUCUUCACUAAAAUUUUGAUCCAUAUCCUGAUUUGAAUCCAUAUCCUGACCCAACCCAUAUAAAUAACACUAUUAUGGAUACAGGUCAAUCCGAUUGUACGGUACACCCAGGUGUACCCCAGAUUUUGUGUAUACCAAUUAAUGAUACAUAUAUUGAUCCGUCUUAAAAAAAUGGUACAUAUACUGAUCCGUGUUGAGAAUAAAGAAUUUGGUUAAAAUUGCAAAAUAUACGAUAUUAAUAAAUAAAUAAAUCUUCAAAACCUAAUAUCUAAAAUUUACUAUUAUUCCGUACAAGUCUUAAAAAUAUUUAUUACCAUAUUUUACAAUUUUAGACUUAGAUAUGUAAUAUGGAGUAAUAUAUUACUAUCUUUGUCAUCACAAUUAAGUACAAGUCCUAACUUGAUCAAUUUUUUUUGUCAUCACAAUUAAGUUGAUCAAUUUUCUUACAUGGAAUAAAUAUAAACAAUGAAACAUCUAAUUACUUAUUCAUUUUAUUGUCAAAAACACUUAAAAAUUAUCUUAAAUUACGUGUCGAAAAGAAAUUGACCAAUUAAACUAGGACAUAAAUAUACUUUAUUGCUUUGAUUGGUGUUGAAUUCGUUUUGAUUUUAUUAUGUUCUUUUAGCAAGUAGUGGACUCACAUUUUUUAAAUUGGGAGUACAAACAAAUAAUCUAGUAAAUCAAUUCUUUAUAUUCUAAUGGUAUAGCAGUACUACUUGAACCAAAUUAAAUUUAUAGUAGCAUUUUCUUGAACUUUAGGUGACUCAUUUUUAGAAGACUCACUUCUAGAGAUUUCAUUUUCUUUAACAUAAAUUGUGGGUUUUUUGUUAUUCCUUUUAACUUUUUUCGAUGUAGGUAUUUCGUUAUUCAUUCUUAUAUUUAAUACACAAAUGUAAUCAUUCUAAAAGAAAACUAAAAUUAUUAGCAAAUCAUGAACAAGUUCGCACAUCAAAUAGGUAAAAAUAUACUCUCCUCAUUCUUAUAAAAAGUAUCAAAUUUAUUAUUUUCAUCAGUUCUCAUAAAAUGUAUCCAAUUUAUUUUUUAGUAAAUUUUUUCACUCACAAUAUAUUCAACUGCCUUAUUAAAACUUGUGCUAUUCAUGUAUGGUUAUUUUUUAUAAGGAUAGGAUAGAUAGAGUAAUUUGCAAAUGGAUUACUCAUUUUAAUAUAUACUUUAUUUUUUUUAUUUAUGUUGAAUUCAUUUUUAUUUUAUUAUGUUCUCUUUGAUUUGUCGGUUUCAUUGGUCAUUUAAAAGAACUAGUAAGCGUGUGAUGAUUGAUUGGGAAAUGCAGGAAUCCAACUAGUCUAUCAAAUACAUUGUACAGCGUCGUUUGUUAAAUUGAUCGAUUAAUCUAUAUUAAAUUUUUGAAAUGCCAUGUUAAUUUUAAUUUGAACGUAGUUUAAUUUUUUUUUAUAAAAUUGCUAGAGACAUAAAAUUUAUUUAUUUUCAAAUAAAACUUUCAAAGUUCAUAAAAAAAAUCAAAAUGAGUCCAAAAUUUAUAUGUUUAGACGCUAAUAACCUAAUAUUAUUAUUAAUAGCAGACCAUACAUCAAAAUUUGCACAUGCCCUUAAACUGUUAAAACAUAAUCUCACAUCUACAUCCAAUUCCAAAAAAUCACUUAACUAUAAGAAUAUUAUACACUAUCAGUAGAUAGAGAAGCCAUUCGAAUAGGUGUUUAAAAGAUAGGUUGAUAUAUAACAACGAAAACGAACAACAAAAGCAAGAAUCAUCAAAAUUUAAAUCAUAUAUAAAUGGUGAAGAACAUAACAAUUAAAUAUUCUUAUGCAUAGAGUUAGAUCAGCUACUAAAACAUGCAAACUGAGGGCAGAGUCAUAAGAGGCAUAUUGCUACUACCAUUGAUAUCUCACUAGAGAUAGAAUCAAAGUCCCAAAAUGCUGCCAUAACCACUUGAAAUCAACUAGCAACACAAAGACCUACAAGAAAAAUUGGUGAGGAGUAUUAUUUGGCCAUGUAUCUUAAGCCAUAAAUCUAACAAACGAAAUUAAGAAAGCUUUACCCUCUGCUAUGCUAUGAUCUUGUUCCUAGCUCAGAAGAAGUCGUAGUCGAAAAUCCCAGGUCCAUCAUCGUUGAAGAAUCCGUAGCCACGAGGAGAAAAGUCAUCGUUGAAGGAUCCAUAGCCAAGAGGAGAAAAGUAGUCGUCGUAAUACUCAUAUUCAAAAUCACCAUAAUAGCUAUUAUCAUCAUAGCAGUCGCUGUAACGUUCAAAAUCCAAUUCAGAUGGUUCCCCAACAAGCCAUGGUACAUCACUAACCGAGUCAUUAGGGAGCCUCAGAUCUUUUAUCUGCUCACGGCAUCUUUUCCCUAAAUCCCCUCCAAGAUCGAGACCAUAGCAUUGCCGGAUGUCAAGUGAUUCGAGGCGUGGACAGCCAUCAAGGAUGGCUUCAAGUCCUUCGUUUUGCAUCUCCUCAUGUGCAAAAAGUUGAAGAUGAUGCAAAUUAGGCAUGCAUUUCCCGAUUGCUCUAGCAUAAGUAUUCCGAUCAAAUCCUUCACUGUAAUAAUCAUCUUCUUCUGAAUCUGGCAUAAGCCGGAUCUUUGAACCACGUUCGUUAUAUGAGAAUGACUUCAACUUUGGGCAAGAAUGGCCAAUAGCUUCAAUGUGGUGAGCUUCUAUCCAUGGAAACAUAAUAAGGUGCAAUUCUUCCAACUGUUCAAGUUUUUCAACCGCCUGAAUUAAAGGAUCUGCAGACAUCUCAUCGCAAGAUACGAGUUUAAGACGUUUGAGAUUUCGUGAUCUGUCAAAAAACACAAGAUUAGACCAGAUAUUGAAUUUUUUUAAGCUAGAAAAUGAUUCAGAUGUAAAUGAAGCAUAUUAUCACAAACACGUAUCAACGCUUUCAUCCAACAUGAUUACAAAGGAAGUUGUACAAAUUAGAAAAUGUUCAAUCAAGCACAAUAUAUUCUUCUUUUGAUGAUUUCCUUGGUCAUAUUAAGCACAUGUUUUUAGCACUGAAUUUCUGUUGGUGGUGUUUGGAACACAGGUAUAUACUACAACUUCAAAGUGCAACCAAAAAAGGUUAUAGACCAACAAGAAUUCACUAACAGAGAUUGCAACUUCAAGUCACAAUUCAUAGCAAUGGCAAAACAAGAAAUUGCGAAAAUUCUGAGAAAAAGAUAAAACUUUUUGAUUUUUCAGUAGCUCACUCACCUACACUGUUAAUACUCUAUCUCCAUUUCUAACAAAGUGAAUAGCAAAGGCCUUUCACAAUUCACAAAGCAAAUACACAUGCCAAAUCUCAUGACGAAGGUAGAGUUGUAAACUAGUUGAGCCGAAGACUACACUAUUUCGACAAAAGGCUCGUGCACUGGCUAGAUUGAAGAUUCGUGAACAAAUAAAUCCAAACAUGAACGUGAGUCAAACGAGACGAUGAGAUGAGAUCGGCUUGUUUAGUAUUGAACGAGCUUUUUUCGAGCAGAGCCUCGAAUAGCUGUGCAUUCACAGAGCUAGUCCAAGAGGCACUGUCAAAUUUGAGCUUUGAACCAAAACGAGACUCAAUUCAAUCAUCAAAAAAUAAAAGAAAACAAAUGAUAAUGAACACGAAUUUCAACAACAACACAAGCAGCUUUAUUAAACUAUAACAUCAUAUCAUAUCCGCGAACAGUGAUGCCUAAAAUAUAACUCGUUCAACAACGAUGAAUCAUCAAUCUUCAAGUAAUAUAAAGAGCGCAGUAACAUUUACCGAUCGGCGACAUAGAUUAUCAGUUCCCCGUCGCCGAAGAAGUCAAUGGUGAGGUCGACCAAUUGCCCCUGGCUCCGAUCCACGGCGCGGCGGCACAUGGCAUUGUAGUCCUCGAACAUAUUCAUAUCAUCAAUGUUGCACAAAUCGAUCACUCGCCACAUGGCGGGAUCCUUGCAAACUUUCCACCAGGUUCUACACACUUGCUGCGCGCUCCUCAGCAUCGCCUCAGCGCCCAACCUCUGCAGAAUGUUGGCCGUUACAUCUCCGGGAAGUUCGAUCCACGGCGGCGGCGGAGGGGGCGACGGUGAAGCAGCUGGCGCCGGCGCUUUCUUUUGAACCCACUGUUUUCGGAUUCUGCAUUUCCUUCUUCCCAUGGCGAUUGAAAACGCAGAAUAGGGAGGAGAGGAAUUUCAAAAGAUUUGUUUAUUAUUUGGGUGAAUAUUUAGGCGGAAAAUAUAUAAGGUCGUGUUUGGUCAAAAAUAUUUUUGGGUGGGAUUACUCGCAUAAUAUACGCCUAAAAAGUAAAAACCCUAAAUUAGGGCCUAAAUUGCGCUUUAGAUACAAUGCAUAAUUGCAUAUAACUCUUUAAGAAAAGAUAGUAUCUCUUGAUUUCUUUUAGAUUAGAUAUAUCUUAUUCAAAAAACAUUAUCUUUUAUUUCAAAUACAUGGUCAAUUAAUGAUACAUAUACUGAUCCUUGUUGGGAAUAAAGAAUUUGUUUAAAAUUGUAAAAUAUACGAUGAUAAUAAAUAAAUAAAUAAAUAAAUCUAAACCAAAGAUAUAAAAUUUAAUAUUAUUCCAUACAAGCCUGCAAAAUAUUUCUUUACCAUAUUUUGCUGUUAUAGACUAAGAUAUGUAAUAUGGAGUAAUAUUUCUUUGAAUUAGUGUUGAAUUCGUUUUGAUUUUUUUAUGUUCUUUUUGCGAUCGAGUGGCGGAUCGAAGAUUUUUAAAUUGUGGAUACCAAAGAAUAAUCUCAUAAAUAAAUUCUUUAUCUUCUAAUGGUACACUAGUGUUAUUUGAACCAAUCAAAUUCAUGACAUUUUCUUGAGCUUGAGGUGACUCAUUUGUAGGAGAAUCACCUCUCUUGAUAUUUCAUUUUCUUGAACAUAAAUUGUGGGUUAUUUGUCAUUCCUUUUAAUUUUUUUGAUUGGGUAUUUGACUAUUUAUUCCUAUAUUCAAUACAAAUAAUUCUAAAAGAAAUCUAAAAUUAUUAACAAUCAUGAAAAAGUUUGCAUUUAUAGAGUAGUGUAUAAUAACUAAAUACGUGUAAUAAUUAAAUUCAUAGACUAUAAAGCAAACAAUUUAAGUAAUCUCAUUUUAAGAAAAUAACACUAAAUCAUUAAUAUAAUAAAAGUAAAAGACUUUAGUAUAACAAUUUUGGACUCUUCAAAGUUCAAAGUCCAAACAAUAUUAUUAUUAAGAGUUUAUAUUUAAAUAGCUCAAAACUAAAAAAUCUUUAAUUUAGCAUCCCCUGCUGAAUAUUUUUUUGUGAAUAAAGUUAACGAAUUUUUGAAAAGAAUUUAAAAGGAGAAAGAAAAGAGAGAAAAAUUGGUGGAAAAACUUGAGAGUAGAAAGAAUUGAGCGAUUAAAAAAAAAAAACACUCUCACCCCUAGACGAUGGGGAUUAAAUUUUAAUCAUCUCUCUAUAGACAAAGAAGCCAUUCGAAUAGUUGCUUGAAAGAUGGGUUGAUCAUAAAUUAAACUUAUUAUAAAAUUGUUAGUGACAUAAAAUUUAUGUAAUUUCAAACAACUUGUAAAAUUCGUGAUAAAAUCAAAAUGACCUCAAAAUUCGUAUAUUUUGACACUAAUAAUAAUCCAAUAUAAUAUUAAUAGUAGUACAUCAAAAUUUGCACAUAACCCUUAAACAUAAUCUCAUACCUGCAUCCUGAAAUUCCAAAAUCAUUAUUCAUUAACUAUAAGAAUAUUUUAUUAGGUGUUCGAAUAGUGCUUGAAAGAUACGUUGAUAUAUAUAACAACAAAAAUGAAGAACAAAAGCAAGAAUCAUCAAAUAUUUAAACCAUAUAUAAACAGUGAAGGACAUAGCGAUUAAAUAUUCUUAUGCAUAAAGUUAGGUGAAAUUCCAAAAAUGUAUGUUGCUACUGCCAUUGGUAUCUCGCUAGAGAGAAUCAAAGUCCCAAAAAUGCAGCCAUAACCACUUGAAAUCAACUAGCUACACAAAAACCUGCAAAAAAUAGGUGAGGAGUAUUAUUUGGCCAUGUAUCUUAAGCCAUAAAUCUAACAAACGAAAUUAAGAAAGCUUUACCCUCUGCUAUGAUCUUGUUCCUAGCUCAGAAGAAGUCGUAGUCGAAAAUCCCAGGUCCGUCAUCGUUGAAGAAUCCGUAGCCAAGAGGAGAAAAGUCAUCGUUGAAGGAUUCAUAGCCAAGAGGAUUAGUGAAGUCGUCGUAAGAUUCAUAAUCUAAAUCUUCAUAAUAGUUACAGUAAUCAUAGUCGCCGUAACAUUCAUAAUCCGAUUCAGAUGGUUCCUCAACAAGCCAUGAUGCAUCACUAAUCGAGUCAUUAGGGAGUCUCAGAUCUUUUAUCUGCUCACGGCAUCUUUUCCCUAAAUCCCCUCUAAGAUCGAGACCAAAGCAUUGCCGGAUGUCAAGUGAUUCGAGGCGUGGACAGCCAUCAAGGAUGGCUUCAAGUCCUUCGUUUUGCAUCUCCUCAUAUGCAAAAAGUUGAAGAUGAUGCAAAUUAGGCAUGCAUUUUCCGAUUGCUCUAGCAGUAACAUUCCGAUCAAAUCCUUCAAUAAUAUCAUCAUCAUCAUCAUCUUCCAAAUCUGGCGGAUGAGGGUACUUUGAACCACGUUCGUUAUAUGAGAAUGAUUUCAACUUAGGGCAAGAAUUGCCAAUAGCUUCAAUCUGGUGAGGUGAAAUCCAUGGGAGCAUAGUAAGGUGUAAUUCUUCUAACUGUUCAAAAUUUUCAAUCGCUUGAACUAAAGGACCUCCAGACAUCUGAUGGCAAAAUACAAGUUUAAGACGUUUGAGAUUUCGUGAUCUGCCAAACAGCACAAGAUUAGACCAGAUAUUGAUUUUUUUAAGCCAGAAAAUGAUUCAGAUGUAAAAGGAGCAUAUUAUCACAACAAGUAUUAACGCUUUCAUCCAACAGGAUUACAAAGGAAGUCGUACAAAUUAGAAAAUGUUCAAUCAAGCACAAUAUCCUCUUCUUUUGAUGACUAACAAGAUUUAUUGCCUUAGUGAUAUUAAAAUGAGAAAUAAGCCUCUCGGCACAUGUUUUACUGAAUUUAUGUUGGAGGUGUUUGGAACACAGGUAAAUACAACUUCAAAAACCAACCAAAAAGGUUCCAGACCAACAAAAUAUCAUUAAGAGAGAUUGCAACUUCAAGUCACAAAUGCUAAAAGGCGCCUUCAGAAUACUUGCAAGAGGUUCUUUCUUUUUCAAAGCAACGGCGAAACAAAAAAAAGGGCGAAAAUUCUAAUAGAAAGAAAAAACUUUUUGAUUUUUUAGUAGCUCAUUCACCUCCACUGUCAACACUCUAUCUCCAUUUCUAACAAAGUGAAUAGCAGAGGCCUUUCACAAUUCACAGAGCAAAUACAACAUGCCAAAUUUCAUGUCCAAGACUCCAAGGUAGAGUUUAAAACUAGUCGAGCCGAAUACUAGACGAGCUCAAGCUCGGCUAGUAUGAUGCUCGAUAAUGUCAUAUUCGAGUUUGAGCUCAAGCUUGGCUCAUAUUCGUAUAAAUAGUGUUCGAGCUUUCAGCUCGAGCUCAUAAAAGGCUUGAGCAGUGGCUUGAUUCAAUCAAAAGAAUCCAAAAAUGUAGUAAACUGCCAAAUUUGACAACGGCUUGUUUGCUAUCAAACGAUUUUUUUCCGAGCCAGUUCUCUUGCGAGUAGCUCUGUUAUUUACAAAGCUAGUCCAAGCCAACCACCGCCAAAUUUGAGCUCUUUGAACCAUAACAAGACUCAAUUUUUCGAUCAUUAAAAAACAAAAACAAAUGAUAAAAAAAUAAGAUAAUCAACGCGCAGUUCAACUACUCAAGCAGCAUUAUAAAACUAUAACAUCAUAUCACAUACGUGAACAGUGAUGCCUCAAAUAUAACUCGUUUAACAACAAUGAAUCAUCAUUCUUCAAGUAAUAUCAAGAGCGGAGUAAUAUUUACCGAUCGGCGAUGUAGUUUAUCAGUUCCCCGUCGCCGAAGUAUUCAAUGGUGAGGUCGACCAAUUGCCCUUGGCUCCGAUCCACUGCGUGGCGGCACAUGGCAGUGUAAUCCUCGUUUGAGAUUUUGCGAUAUCUGAAUGCAAGAUACAAAUUUAAGACGUUUGAGAUUUCGUGAAAGGAGCAUAUUAUCACAAACAUGUAUUUACGCUUUCAUCCAACAUGAUUACAAAGGAAUUAGGAAAUGUUCAAUGAAGCACAAUAUCCUCUUCUUUUGUACAAAUAAGCCUAUCAGCGCAUGUUUUUAGCACUGAAUUAUGUUGGAGGUGUUUAGUAAAUACAACUUCAAAAUGCAACAAAAAAUGUUCCAGACCAACAAAAUAUCAAUAAGAGAGAUUGUAACUUUGAGUCACAAUUGCUAAACGAAGGAGCCUUUCAAAUACUUGCAAGAAGUUCUUUCUUGUUCAAAGCAACGACGAAACAAAACAGGGUGAAAAUUCUGAGAGAAAGAUAGAAGUAGAACUUUUUGAAUUUUCAGUAGCUCACUCCCCUCCAAUGUUAAUACUCUAUAUCCAUUUCUAACUAAGCAAAUAGCAAAGGCCUUUCACAAUUCAAAAAGCAAAUGCAAUAUGCCAAAUCUCAUGUCCAAGGUAGAGUCGUAACCUAGGCAAGCUCGAGCUCAGCUAGUAUGAUACUCGAUAAUGUCAUAUUAGAGUUUGAGCUCAAGCUUGAAUCAUAUUCGUAUAAAUGGUGUUCAAGCUCAUAAAAGGCUAGUGCAGUGGCUUGAUUUGAACAAACGAAUCCGAACAAGUAGUAAACCGCAAGGCUUGAGACCGACUCCUUUACUAAUUACUAUCGAACGAGCUUUUUCCGAGCCGAGUCUCUCUUGCAAGUAGCUCUGUUCAUUUACAGAACUAGUCCAAGGCAGGCACCGCCAAAUUUGAGCUUUGAACGAAAACAACUCAAAUUUUCCAAUCACUCAAAAAAAGAAAACAAAUGAUAAAAAAAAAAAUGAUAAUCUACGUGCAUUUCAACAACUACACAAGCAGCUGUAUAAAACAAAACAUCAUACCAUAUCCAUGAACAGUGACGCCUCAAAUAUAAGUCGUUUAACAACGACAAAUCAUCAUUCUUCAAGUAAUAUCAAGAGCGCAGUAAUAUAUACCUAUUGGCGACGUUGUUCAUCAGUUUCCCUUUGCCCAAGGAGUCAAUCGUCAGUUUCCCUUUGCCCAAGGAGUCAAUCGUGAGGUCGACAAAUUGCUCCACGCUCUGAUCCACUGCACGGCGGCACAUGGCAGUGAAGUCCAUUUGUGACAUUUCGUCAUAUCUGAAUGCAAGAUACAAGUUUAAGACGUUUGAGAUAUCAUGAUCUGCAAAGUGCACAAGAUUAGACAAUAACUAAUUUUUUUAAGCUAUAAAAUGAUUCAGAUGUAAAAGGAGCAUAUUAUCACAAACAUAUAUUAACGCUUUCAUCCAACAAGAUUACAAAAUGUUCAAUCAAGCACAAUAUCCUCUUCUUUUGUACAAAUAAGCCUCUCAGCACAUGUUUUUAGCAUUGAAUUUAUGUUAGAGGUGUUUGAAACACAGGCAAAUACAACUUCAAAAUGCAACCAAAAAGGUUCCAGACCAACAAAAUAUCAUUAACAGAGAUUGCAACUUCGAGUCACCAUUGCUAAAAGAAGGAGCCUUGUGAAUACUUGCAAGAAGUUCUUUCUUGUUCAAAGCAACGACGAAACAAAAAAGGGUGAAAAUUCUGAGAGAGAGAUAGAACUUUUUGAUUUUUCAGUAGCUCACUAUCCUCCAGUGUUAACACUCUAUCUCCAUUACUAACUAAGAGAAUAGCAAAGACCUUUCACAAUUCACAAAGCAAAUGCAACAUGCCAAAUCGCAUGUCCAGGGUAGAGUUGCAAACUAGCUGAGCCGAAUACUAGACGAGCUCGAGCUCAGCUAGUAUGAUACUCGAUAAUGCCAUAUUCGAGUUUGAGCUCAAGCUUAUAUUCAUAUAAAUAGUGUUCGAGCUCUCAGCUCGAGCUCAUAAAAGGCUUGUGCAGUGGCUUGAUUCGAACAAACGAAUCCGAACAUGUAGUACACCGAGGCUUGAGAUAAUCGAACGAUUUUUCUUCCGAUCGUACGAGUAGGAGUAGCUCUGAACCAAAAAUAAUAAUAAUAAAAUAUGAUAAUGAACGCGCAUUUCAACAACAACACAAGCAGCAUUAUAAAACUAUAACAUCAUAUCAUAUCCAUGAACAUCAAGAGCGCAGUAAUAUCUACCGAUCGGCGACGUAGUUUAGCAGUUCAUCGUUGCCGAAGGGGUCAAUGGCGAGGUCGACCAAUUGCCUCUGGUUCCAAUCGACUUCGGGGCGGCACAUAGACAUGGCAGUGUACGUAUCGAUCAUACGAGGGUAGUGCAAAACGAUCACUCGCCACAUGGCGGGAUCCUUGCAAACUUUCCACCAGGUACUACACACUCGCUGCGCGCUCCUCAGCAUCCCCACCGCGCCCAACCUCUGCAGAAUGUUGGCCGUUACAUCUCCGGGAAGUUCGAUCCACGGCGGCGAAGGGGGCGAGGACGAAGCAGCUGGCGCCGCCGCCGGAGUUUUCUUUGGAACCCACUGUUUUCGGAUUCUGCUUUUCCUGUUGGCCGUUACAUCUCUGGCAAGUUCGAUCGACGGCGGAGGAGGGGCCGAGGAUGAAGCAGCUGGCGCCGGCGCCGGAGUUUUCUUUGGAACCCACUGUUUUAGGUUUCUGCUUUUCCUCCUUCCCAUGGCGAUU